GAUUACAAAUAAUAUUUGUAUCGUUGACGAAAGAGAAACAAAGAUGGAGUAGCAUAGAUUUUUUCUCAAUAAAACACCUCUGCAAAUCUCUAGUCUCUUUAUACGUUAAGAGAGCAAGAAAAUUUGGGCGAUGAUUGGCUAAUAAGCUAUGUUAAUUUGUUAUAGGGCCUAUUGAGGUGGGUUGAAGAUUUGAAGGAGCUGAAGAAGAGGCUGGUAGAGGGCAGUGGAGAUCUCCUCGGACCUUGUGAUGUUGAUGGAGUGAAGAGUUGACUUACGAGGGGAUGGUUUGGAUGUAGCGAUUGCAAGCCUGGAUGAAGAAUGUUUUUGUGAUGACCUGACCAUCUGUAGGCUCUGCCCAUCAGGUUAUCAGAUCCUUCCUUGUCAUCUUUAUUCAGAAGUAAGCCAUGGUGAGGGCGCAAAGCAUCAUUGCUUGCUGGAGAUACAAACCACUUGAAGGAGCUCGGGAAGAAGGCUGCAGAAGGUAGUGAAGGUCUUUUCAUGCCAUUGGAUGUUGAUGAAGAGUUGAGUAUAAGAGUACGGUUUGCAUGGUGCCUCCUACUUAAUCAAGGCUUCUAUAUGCUGUACCUUGGAAGGCAGGGUGAAGAAUACUUCUUUCUGACGAACAGCUGCAAAGAAGGGCACUGUGAUGAUACCGGAGUAAACCAGUUUCUUCCAGGCUCCAUCCAACAGGCAGCAAAUCCAUACUCGACAAAUUUCCCGCCUCACAAGAUUUCUCAUUAAAAUCCACAUUUCGAAUAAGAGGAGAAGGGUAGCUUUAUUUAAACCAUCCCCGUCAUCUUCUUCAGGACAUAUCAGGUAAGCCUAUCAUUUUUUAGUGAUGGUUGAUGCUUUCACAAGGUUCAUUAUCUCCGCUCUCAUCAUAGAGGGUGGUCAUGUCAUGCAGUUGAUUUAUAGGAUAUUUUAUCUCGUUCUGUAUGAAAAUGAGAGAGAUACAGUUACAGACAUGUACUGCACUUUUUAUAAUGAUAAUUACUGAUAACAUAAUGCAAUAAUAAAUGCUACUCAUCUCCA